AUGCCGAACACGGCCUAAGGGAUGAUAAUCCUCUAAAACUUGUAGACAAAAAAAAAAUGGCGACCUUUGCAAGACUUCCACUCCUUCAACUACAACCACACCCUAAACUCCUCAAAUCUUACUUUCACUCUUCUCGCAUCAAAUUCAAACUCCCCAAUCUCUAUUUAUCUACCCCUUCUCAAAGCGUCUCGCCAUUUCGUUGUUUCUCUUCCAAUGUCGAUCAAAUUCAUCAGAAUUCUUUCCACAACGAAUCAGUUGGGUCCAUUGUUGGGGAUUUGCUGAAUUAUCUCAAUGAAUCUUGGACCCAAUUUCAUGCUACUGCUGAAGCGAAAAGGCAACUGCUUGCUGCUGGCUUCCACCUGCUGAAUGAGAAUGAAGAAUGGGAACUCAAGCCAGGUGGUCGAUACUUUUUCACAAGAAAUAUGUCUUCUUUGGUUGCUUUUUCCGUUGGUGAGAAGUAUAGUACUGGCAAUGGGUUUCACGUCAUUGCAGCCCACACUGACAGUCCAUGUCUAAAACUAAAACCAAUAUCAGCAUCAUCGAAACCUGGAUAUCUAAUGCUGAAUGUGCAGACCUAUGGUGGUGGUUUGUGGCACACUUGGUUUGACAGAGACUUAAGUGUAGCUGGAAGAGUUAUACUGAGGACUGAUGAUGGUUCCUUCAUUCAGAGACUUGUGAAAAUAAAAAGACCACUUUUGCGAAUACCUACACUAGCCAUCCAUCUCGACCGAACAGUGAACCAGGAUGGUUUUAAACCUAAUCUAGAAACACACCUUGUUCCAUUGCUGUCAACAAGAUGUGAAGAAGAGCUUACAGAAUCCAAAGAAAAGGGUGCUACAAGAUCUUCUAAGGCUUGGCAUCAUCCACAGCUUCUGGAGGUUCUUUCAGAAGAGCUGGAUUGUGCUAUUGCUGACAUAGUGACUCUCGAGCUUAAUGUUUGUGAUACUCAACCUAGUUGUCUGGGGGGCAUGAACAAUGAGUUUAUAUUUUCUGGGAGAUUAGACAAUCUCGCCUCUAGUUUUUGCGCACUAAGAGCUCUUCUUGAUUCUUGUUCAUCUCCCGGAGAUUUAUCCAGUGAAGAUGCUAUACGGAUGAUUGCUUUAUUUGAUAAUGAAGAGGUAGGUUCUGAUUCAAUUCAGGGUGCUGGUGCACCAACAAUGUUUCAAGCUAUGAGACGCGUAGUUAGCUGCUUGGCUCGUGAAAAAGUUGGUGAAGGGGCUGUAGAAAGAGCAAUUCGGCAAUCGUUUUUAGUCUCAGCUGAUAUGGCUCAUGGUGUUCACCCAAAUUUUGUGGACAAACAUGAAGAAAACCAUCGGCCACAAAUGCAAAAGGGGCUUGUUAUAAAACAUAAUGCAAAUCAGCGCUAUGCUACUAGUGGAGUAACUGCUUUUCUUUUCAAAGAAGUUGCAAAAACUCACAACCUACCAACUCAGGAAUUUGUGGUGAGAAAUGACAUGGGGUGUGGAUCCACUAUUGGGCCCAUACUUGCUGCUGGUGUUGGGAUCCGAACUGUUGACUGUGGCAUUCCUCAACUUUCCAUGCACAGUGUGAGGGAGAUAUGUGGAAAGGAAGAUGUAGACAUUGCGUACAAGCAUUUCAAAGCAUUUUACGAAACAUUUUCCAGCGUUGACAAAAAAUUAUCUGUUGAUUAGUAUGUCAUCUGUAUGACUUGAUUUGAGCUUCAACCCUUGACUAACGUGUAGGGAAGCAGUCAAGAUUUCAUUCUUUCAGGCAGGGAAAUGGCAGCAUUGGAGUUGGAAGCUAAGCAGUCAUUGUUUGUUGAAUGAUAAUAUAACUCAUAAAUUUCACGUCAAGUUUAUGUUGCUUUGACAUUCCUCCAUCUUAUUUUUUUGGUGGAGGAAAGUAAGAAACGAGGAUUAUUUUUGUUGUGGAUAUUGCGGUAAAAACAAGUUUUAUAUAAUUGUGAAAGUGUUACAUCAUUGUCUUAA